rnacentral:snoRNA from 1 species
UCCUGUAUCGAAAGGUGAUCAUGGCAUCCUCGUCGCUUGGUCAUUGUUUUACUACAGGAAGAGGAAAGUGCAAGCCUUUCCCUGUGUUUGCAGGACGUCACUUCCUGUUAAACCCUGGUGCUCGCACACA